AUGAACCUGGAGAUGGUGACAUGUGAAGACCAACAGAUUGAUGCAGGACAGGCUGUAGGGGGCAAACAGACCCCACUGCAGUUGGAGCUGAGGGAGGGAGCUGAAAACGGAGGGCCCCAGACCAGUGGAGCCGCAGGAAAAUUUGCCACAGGGGAAGAACUAAAUGAUGUGGACUAUGCCAGAAUCAACUACUCCCUGCUGAAGAAGAAGACUCCUGAGGAGGCAGAGAAGAAGACCACCACCACAGAGACAGACUACGCAGAAAUCAAACGAGAGAAGAAGAAUGAGGAGGAAGAAGAUGGUGGAGAGGGGAGUGGUGGAAUGGAAGAGGUGGAAUGGGAAGAAGGGGAGGAGAUGAUAGGGACGGACGAGGAGAAAGAGAACGAUAAGCCAUUACGAGAGACAGAUGAGGAUACAGCACUUUACUCCAACGUCAAGGCUAUUAUGGGUGAAGAGUGACACAGCAACGUGGGAGACAGCGCACAGUACUAUGGCUUCUAAUAUACAGCACUGCGGUAUUUUCUCAUAUUCCAGAUUGGACGUUUUAUGAUGAUAGAGACUUUGUUUAACUGAAACUAGGUAAUAGUUUUGGUAAUUCUUUAUUUUUCAGCCUUGUCUAAUGUAAUGUUAGUUUUGUAAUGAUUCUGUUUUUGUGUCACCAUGGAAGGACUGACAAAGACGUGGUUUGGAGAAGCAGAGAGGUCAAACCAUCUCGUUUUUUUCUCCUCUGUUCAUUCAUGUUUUUGCAUUUUGAUUUAACCCUAACCCUAUAUAUUGAGGCACUACCUUACUUUUGAUGUUUGUGUGUAUUUUAGUUGUUUGCUAUCUGAAAUUUGUUCAAAGAAUUUCUAAAUUAUGUUUUAACUGUCUUGUAGCAUGAUGUACUACAGUACCCAUAAUGCUCUGUAUCAAUAUACGGUUUGAUCUGGGUAAAGACGUUCCUAAAGCUAACACUAUGGUGUCCCGUCUACGUAGUAUUACAUCAGAGGAGGCUGGUGGUAGGAGCUAUAGGAGGACAGGUUCAUUGUAAUGGCUGGAAUGGAAUACUUGAAACUGUAUCAAACAUAUGGCAACCACAUGUAUGACUCUGUUCCAUGAAUUCCAUUCCAGCCAUUAAAACGAGCCUGUCCUCCUAUAGCUCAUCCCACCAGCCUCCUCUGUAAUACAUGGUGUCAGAAGUUGGAUGUCUAUUAUUAUCUCCCCAAAUUGUAUUCGACAGUGAUUACACAGGUGGUAUGACUGCAGAGAACAGUAGAUGUUUUCUAUAGAACUAAUCCAGUUCCUUCACCAUGUAUUCCAUGUUGACAUAAUCAAGAUGUAUAUGUUCCCGAUCAUUGUAAAUAAGAAGUUGUUCUUAACUGACUUGCCUAGUUAAAUAAAGGUUGCAUUUAAAUUUAAUAAAAAUGUAAAAAAUAUGAAUAUCCUACAAACAACCACUAGAUAGAGACACUCCAUUUGACAUGACAACCGCAAAGCCGCAUCAUUUACAAGCCCACUUCUAAACCAAUUCUCAGUUUGAGCUUUAAUCAUAAUACUCAUUUAUCAGAAAAGGAAACUGAUUUAAGGUGAUCUCAACCAUCUGCUGGUGUAAGUGAAGACAGAACAACAGGCUCUGAUUGGAAGGCAGAUGUUUAAAAUUAACCCUGAAACUCUCAGAGGUUUCUCACAUGGUUUCCUCUGAACAAAAAAACACCAAGAGGUGUGUGUGUGAGUCACAGUAGCAAGAAAUGGACACUCCCUUUCACAUUGUAAAUCUGGCUUUGUUGUGGUGGUUGUUUCUUUUGUACUGUACCUGUCACUGAGCUACCGAACAAACCCACGCACAAACACCUGUGUUAUUCCUCAGGUUUGGAUGAAAAGAAAAUGAAGAUGUCCCUUUGCUGUUAACUGUUCAUUUAGAGAUUAUGUCACCUGCCAAUUGUCAGUGUGAGCAUCAUGGACUCUGUCGUGUGUACUGUAUGUGCUCACACUCAUACUGGAUUAAGGAUGGGAUUACAGGAUUAGAAUGUUCCACUCACAGUACAGAGCCUGUAAAUAGAUCUAGCAGACACAGUCAGCAUACUUCGCUUGUAUUGAGGACAUAUCUGCUAUUGAUCAUUGGAUAAGGAUGUAUUUCCAUUUUUAAGGUCUGCCCUUAGGUUUUUUUCAUCCAGAUCAAAGGUAAGGCAUAGGCAGUAGCAUACAUUAGUACUGUAGACCAGACGGUUCCUUGGAGCUAAGAUUGUGUGUUUGUUUACACAACACUUACCACUAUCCAAUACUGUCAUUUGACCAAUGACAGUAAAAAAAUAAAAGAAGUUAAAUACAUUAAAUCUGAUUAAUUGUGUAAAGAAACUGUUUUAUUGUGUUCCCACUUAUCCCGAAUUGAUUAAGCAGUAAGGGAUUGUGUUCCAGGUCCUCGAGGGCUGCACUGUAUGUCAGUGUUUGUUCUUGCCUUCUAUUCAGAGACUAAUAAAUACCUCAGUAUUAAACUGUGUGGACAUAACAGCCAAUCAAUUGUCAAUUGAAUUGAUCAAUUACGUGCCCAAGAAAUGUAAUCCUCCACUAUUAAGAU
rnacentral:lncRNA from 8 species